rnacentral:rRNA from 2 species
UAAAACCAGCACCUCAAGUGGUCAGGAUGAUUAUUGGGCCUAAAGCAUCCGUAGCCGGCUCUGUAAGUUUUCGGUUAAAUCUGUACGCUCAACGUACAGGCUGCCGGGAAUACUGCAGAGCUAGGGAGUGGGAGAAGUAGACGGUACUCGGUAGGAAGUGGUAAAAUGCUUUGAUCUAUCGAUGACCACCUGUGGCGAAGGCGUCUACUAGAACACGUCCGACGGUGAGGGAUGAAAGCUGGGGGAGCAAACCGGAUUAGAUACCCGGGUAGUCCCAGCUGUAAACUAUGCAAACUCAGUGAUGCAUUGGCUUGUGGCCAAUGCAGUGCUGCAGGGAAGCCGUUAAGUUUGCCGCCUGGGAAGUACGUACGCAAGUAUG